CCUACGGGAGGCAGCAGUGAGGAAUAUUGGACAAUGGGCGAAACCCUGAUGCAGCGACGCCGCGUGAAGGAAGACGUCUCUACGUGUUUUAACUUCUAUCAGCAGGGGAGAAAAUGACGGUACCUGACUAAGAAGCCCCGGCUCACUACGUGCCAGCAGCCGCGAGAAUCCGUCGGGGGCAAGCGUUAUCCGGAUUUACUGGGUGUAAAGGGAGAGUAGGCGGUUUAACAGGGUAGAAGGGAAAGAUCCGGGCUCAACUCCGGGACUGCCUUUGAAACUGUUGAACUAGAUUGCAGGAGAGGUAAGCGGAAUGCCUGGUGUAGCGGUGAAAUGCGUAGAUAUUAGGCAGAACACCAGUGGCGAAGGCGGCUUACUGGACUGUAAAUGACGCUGAGGCUCGAAAGCGUGGGGAGCAAACAGGAUUAGAUACCCUAGUAGUC
rnacentral:rRNA from 1 species